UGUAAGCCUGUGAAGGUGUGUCGUGAGGCAUGCUGGAGGUAUCAGAAGUGCGAAUGCUGACAUAAGUAACGAUAAAGCGGGUGAAAAGCCCGCUCGCCGGAAGACCAAGGGUUCCUGUCCAACGUUAAUCGGGGCAGGGUGAGUCGACCCCUAAGGCGAGGCCGAAAGGCGUAGUCGAUGGGAAACGGGUUAAUAUUCCCGUACUUGGUGUUACUGCGAAGGGGGGACGGAGAAGGCUAUGUUGGCCGGGCGACGGUUGUCCCGGUUUAAGCGUGUAGGUGUGUGUUCCAGGUAAAUCCGGUUCACUUUAACACUGAGGCGUGACGACGAGGCACUACGGUGCUGAAGCAACAAAUGCCCUGCUUCCAGGAAAAGCCUCUAAGCAUCAGGUAACACGAAAUCGUACCCCAAACCGACACAGGUGGUCAGGUAGAGAAUACCAAGGCGCUUGAGAGAACUCGGGUGAAGGAACUAGGCAAAAUGGUGCCGUAACUUCGGGAGAAGGCACGCUGACACGUAGGUGAAGUGAUUUACUCAUGGAGCUGAAGUCAGUCGAAGAUACCAGCUGGCUGCAACUGUUUAUUAAAAACACAGCACUGUGCAAACACGAAAGUGGACGUAUACGGUGUGACGCCUGCCCGGUGCCGGAA
rnacentral:rRNA from 1 species